rnacentral:lncRNA from 1 species
GGGGGUUCAUUUGACUCGGGGAGAAGGUGUUAGGCACUCCCUAAGUCCCGUAACUAGUACGGUUGCAUACUUUGAUCUAAUCGGCUUUUAAAAUAUUCAAGUUGAGGUAAAAUCACAGAAAAAAAUAAAUACAAAAGAGGCUCGAGAUCGUCCCCACCUAAAUGAAAGAAAAUUAAAAGAAUGAAAAUUAAAGUUCCAAAUUACAGAAUACUACGGAGCAUUCUCUGGAAUAAAAUAUGUACAAAUUCUUCGGGGCAUUCCCCGGAUAAAUUUAACAAAAAGGGGUGACCUCUCACCUCAAAAUAAAUUAGAACACGAACGUCCUAAAAGUUGCCUACCCAAAUGUGGUCGGCCUAAGCAUGCUCCUAGCGAACAAUGUGACAAAAUAAAGUGAAUAAAAGGAAACUAAAUAAAAGAAAAAUUCAUCACCUACUCACUUUCUUUUGAUUCAUUCACAUAACCUAACCUAACUCCUAUAACAUUUGAACAUGAUCUAAUUUUUAAGGACUGGUUGGACCCGUUUCCCACGACCCAUUUCAAGCAACUGAUCCAAACAAAAUAAAGACGAUAACACAUCCAACAGAUAACUAUCCAAAGGCACCUGAUGUCAAUAAACUCGUAAACAAACAUAACAAAAUGAAUAAAAGAAAGCAAAAAUAGGAAAGAUAUGGGCUAACAUUACGAUAAAACCAUGACGUCACCUGUACCCCCUCCCCCCAUUUUCUAUCUGCUGCAAAGUUCUAGCAUUUAUAAAUGAGAAUCUAGUAAUGCAAACUAGGUUGAGCAAUAUUAGAACACACAUCCAAAAUAUUUGAUUGAUUAAAUUAUGGAAGAAAACAAUAACGCAUAUAUCUCAAAGUGAACAAGUGAUUUCUCUUGAUUAACAAUCUAAGUGACUAAAGAAAACUCCCUUGAAAUUCAUCACAUGCUUGAGCAAAGUGAAAAGAAAGAAUAAGCCAACAAAUACAAAUCGAUUUCGGAUAAAAUUUCCAACAUGCUAGUAUACUACUCUUAACAGAUAUAAUAUGGAACCAGUGAGGAAUUUGAAGGCUAAAGAUAUUUUAGUUAAACAAUAGGCAGAUAAACUUUUAGAGAAAAAAGGAAACUACAACACAAGUAUUGACUUAAACAAAAGCAAACCUACUGUAUAUAGACUUCAUACUUCAAUUAUUGAGUCAUCCACUACCAUAUUCCUCUUAACAUUAAAUUUACUAAGCUUCAUAGAAAAUUUUAACAAUUUAAUCACAGGUGAAAGCAAUGACCAUUCGACUCCAAAUUGAACACACGUUGUUACUUUACUUCAAACUAGAAACUUUUAUGGAAAGGCUCUACAGGUUCUUGUUCAAAAAUGCUAAAGGAAAAAGGCACAUGAACAAUCACAAAGGCAAAGGUGCAAAUACCUUAAACUAAACUAUAACGGGAGUGUUGCUAGGAGAUAUGACUUAAACAAACACACUCAACAUAACGUAAACCAAGUCAAGAAGAAAUUAAACAAAGUCGCAGAAAUCACUAAUGACUUAGUCCAGACAACAAUUAAUUUGUUCCACACCUGUUCAAACAAAGGGAAAAAAAUUAAAAUGAGUGUUGGCCGAAAUUCUUUUUAAUGACAGUAGAGGAAUCAGCAGAUACAGUGUUUUACUCCAAAAUUCAAACCGAGAACAGCAACACAAUCGAGCAAAAACCGCGAGCCAAACCACGAACCUCGAAUGAAAACUCGAAUCGGCACCGGAAUUUCGAAUCCAAACUCGAACUUCAAUCAAAUUCUAUCUUUGAAAACGAAAAUUGAAAUUGGAAAGAAGAAGAAACAUUUUUUUUUGUAUUUUUCUGAGAUUUAAAUUAAACUAAAAAUUUGAAAAAAAUGAAAUUCAAAGAUGAAAAGGGCUAAACUGAAUUUUUUUCGUUUGUAUUUUUUCGGUUGUUCCAAGAAGACAAAAAUCAGAGAAGAAGAUUGAUGACUUCUCAAACUAGCUCAAAAUAGAGGAAAUAUUUUUGUAAUUUUUUUAAAAGAUUAAAUAAAGUAAGAAACUUCAAAAUAGUCGAAAUAGUGAUAUUAGGCCUAAAACCAACAUCUAAGCAUUAAAAGGUAUAAAAUCUCGGGGAGGGUCAAAAAUUACAUGUCUAAAACUGCCCCUCUUUGACUGGAAACACAAAGAGUUUUCAGACAAAGAACGACGAGAUAGGCUUUUUUACCCGACCCUUAUUUAGAGAGACCAAAAACUAAAAGAAAGGAGAAUGUGACUGUGCCCUGGUAUUUGAGCUGCCUACAUAUCCUUGGCUGUAAAGAAAUUAGGCCACGUGUAGUUCAGAAGUGAAUGAGGUGAUGAAGUAUACUGAAGUGGAGAGCUGGUCGAGGUGCUGUUCUGUCGAGGUUCCGGUCCGCGGUUCCUGCCAUUACAUCAAAAUUAAAAGAAAAAAUUACAGCAAAAAUAAAAGAAAAAUACAAGGUCCUAUCAACUUCUUGUCUCGAAUCUUCCUUGAAUCCCCAUUUGAUCCUUAAACAUGAAAUUGAAAAUUCACCCUAUUCUUCAGGUGGGCAUCCUGCUGACUUGAAUUUGAAAAAAACGGAAGUUGACCAUGUUCUUCAGGCGGGCUUCUGAUGCCUCUUGUAUUUGAGAAUUGAAAGUAAAUCUGAAAUGAAUUCUCUCGUUCUCCAGGUGGGUGCCUGUGGCUGACUUAAAACUGAAAUGAAAUCCCUCAUUCUCCAGGUGGGCGCCUGCGACCGACUUAAACUUGAAAUGAAUUCCCUCGUUCACCAGGUGGGCACCUGCCACUGACAUAAAACUUUGAAAUGAAUUCCCUUGUUCUCCAGGUGGGCGUCUGAUGCUUUCUCUGACUUGAACUUGAAAAUUAAAAGUUGACCAUAUUCUUCAGGCGGGCUCCUGAUGCUUCUUGAAUUUGAAAAUUGAAAGUAACUCUGAAAAAAAUUUCCUCGUUCUCCAAGUGGGCGCCUGCCGCUAAUUUAAAACUAAAAUAAAUUCCCUCAUUCUCCAGGUGGGCGUCUGCAAUCACAACAAAAUAGACAAAACAAAGAAAAUUUUCUACCCUAGUUAGUACUAGGAAUAUUUGUGAGUGUUAGUUGAAUCCCAUUUUCCGGGAGGGUCCUGAAAAUUUAUAUCAAAUCCCAUUAUCCAUGAGGGUCCUGAAAACUUAAAUCCUGAUCUCAUUCUCCAGGAGGGUCCUGAAAACUUAAAACUGAACUUACCUGGAAUAGGCUUUCCUCAUGGAGGAUUCUUGUAAAACAAACGAAAUUUCUUGACCUUGUUUCAAACAAAGAAAAUCUUGUUAGUUUAAAAAUGUGGCGGUUAGUUUGUGACAUUCUUGCUGAAGAUGUUUGCUUCUGCCACUACCAUGAUUCAUUCUGAUUAGCUGCUUCGGGCUAACAAAGAACUUUUGGCCUUUUGAUUGACACUGGACCACAAAAUCUUUGAAUGGCCUGAAUCUCUUACACUCUCUUGUUGCAUUGUGUUUUCAUUCUGAAAGUUGCUAAACCUUUGUAUUUUCUCAAAUUUCCAGAAUCACCUUACCACUUGAACUUCAGUUAUCACCAUAUUGCUCAUUCUAAAUCAUGUCACUUGUGAUGUGCUUGGCCGAACUCCGCUUUGUACAAUUUAAAAGUUAGUAGUAGGAUUUGGGAUCUUUCCUGCUUGUUCAACAAGGGCUGACUCGAAACAGACAGACUCAAAGAGCACAGUGAAGUGACUUUUAACAAAAGGAAUGAAGGAAAAUUUUGAACAAAGACGAUUGUGUGAAGAAGAAUGAGAGAAAAAGACUUAUCUGAGUGAAGCGGCUGGCUCCAAUGAUCAUGACAUGCAUUUCAGAUUGAUCAGCCUAAUCUGCCCAACCAAUCAUAUUUUCAGUUCAUGUCAUGUCUUCAUAUUUCAAAAUCGGGCUUUCAAUGAUCCAAUUUCUCCGUAACGUCAUGAGCUUCAUUUACUCGUAGUGCCCCAAAAGGUUUUCACGAACAAGCCUCUCUCAUUUGUUUAUCUCUCAACUUACCAUCGCCUUACAGUGCCCGCGAGGGUUUUCACCAAUAAGACUCUCUCAUUUUAAACUUUCUCUCAGCUCACCAUUGCCUUACGGUGCUCAUGAGGGUUUUUACCAAUAAGACUCUCUCAUUUUAUUCAUUUUUUAUUUGUGCCCAUGAACAAAGUGUUACCCAUGAUGUAAGUCAUACCUCUAUCUCGUGGCAUCCUCAAAGAUUGAUCGGAAGGUCUUUCUUUGGACCGUAAUGUAGGUUUUUGGACAAGGUUAGAAAGAAAGGGUGGUAUGAAGGCUCAAAAUAAUUUAAAAUAAAAAGGGUUCAAAAUUACAACUUUCGAAAUCAGAUCUUUUGCAAAAUCAAAACUUCUGCCCCAGUUUAUUUGGGUCUGGGGAAUUUUAGAUUUUUUUUUUGAGGGGACCGAACUUGUAAGGUUUCCUACGUAUCCUUGAAAGGAAUCAAGUCGAACGUAGUUCAAACAAAAGUUGUUUGUUUUUGUUGCUUUUCUUUUCUUUUUUUUCUUUUUUUUCCUUUUCUUUUUUUUUUCAUUUUUCUAUUUUUCUUUUUUUCAUUUUUUUCUAAUUCUACUCCUGACUUCGAAAGAGGGGUAUGAAAGAAAAUAAAUAAGGCUCAAAAGGGAUAACAAAGGAUAAAAGUGUUUGGGUAGCGGAAUAAAAUACCUUCAUCAUUUCAGCUUUGAACAUGCCAAGUACAAAAUGUGAAUGAAAAUAAGCAAAGUACUCAUACAUAGUACCUCUUGAUUGCAUCACAAUUAAUAGUCAUAUCUACACAUUUGCCUUCUAUAUCUGUUAAAUACAAAGCAUCAUUAGGCAACACUCUUGUCACCAUGAAUGGCCCCUGCCAGUUUGGGGCAAACUUGCCUUUAGCUUCAGCCUGAUGAGGAAGGAUGCGUUUUAAUACCAGCUGACCCACUUCGAAUUUCCGAGGAUGCACCUUCUUGUUGUAUGCUCUUGCCUUUCUCUUCUGAUACAUUUGACCAUGACAUACUACAACCAACCUUUUCUCAUCAAUCAAACUCAACUGCUCUAGCCGGGUUUUAACCCACUCAUCAUCAUCAAUUUUAGCUUCUGCAAUGAUCCGAAGGGAUGUAAUCUCAACUUUCGCAGGUAUAACUGCCUCAGCUCCAUAGACCAGUAAAUAAGGAGUUGCACCCACUGAAGUGCGAUAACCCAGUAAGGCAAAAGGCAACUUUUCAUGCCAUUGCCUAGAACAUUGCACCAUUUUACGAAGUUUCUUUUUUAUGUUCUUGUUAGUAGCCUCAACAGCUCCAUUCGCCUUGGGACGGUACAGAGUGGAGUUUCGAUGCAUAAUCUUGAACUGUUGGCAUACCUCUUUCAUCAAAUGACUGUUGUGGUUGGCAGCAUUGUCUGUGAUGCCACCUUGGGUAUUCCGAACCGACAAAUGACAUGUGAAUGAAUAAAAUCCACCACUGCCUUCUUGGUCACGGACUUGAAAGUUACAAAUCCGACCCACUUGGUAAAGUAAUCAAUGGCCACCAGAAUAAACCUAUGCCCGUUCGAUGUUGCCGGCUCAAUUGGUCCAAUGACAUCCAUACCCAAGCAACAAAUGGCCAAGGUGCAGACAUUGUAUGCAACUUAGAUGGCGAGGAGUGAAUUAAAUCACCGUGCACCUGACAUUGAUGACAUUUGCGAACAAAUCUGAUGCAAUAUCAUUCCAUGGUGAGCCAAUAAUAACAUGCACGAAUUAUCUUUUUUACCAAGACAUACUCAUUCAUGUGCGGCCCGCAAACUCCAGAAUACACUUCGGCCAUGAUAGUUGAAACUUCUUUAGCAUCUAUGCACCUCAGCAGUCCCAAAUCUGGAGUCCUCUUGUACAAGAUUCCCCCACUCAAGAAAUAUCCACUAGCCAAACGCCGGAUGGUUCUCUUUUGAUCAUCUGUGGCAUGUAUUGGACAUACCCCCGACUUGAUGUAUUCCUUGAUAUCAUGGAACCAAGGUUCGCCAUCAAUUUCCUCUUCAACCAUAUUACAAUAAGCAUGUUGAUCACAAACUUGGAUAUGUGCGGGGUCGACAUAAGCCUUGUCCGGAUGAUGUAACAUUGAUGAUAGGGAAGCCAAAGCAUCGGCAAUCUCAUUAUAAAUCCUAGGAAUAUGUCUAAAUUCUACCGACUUGAAUCAUUGACAAAGAUCAUGCAGACACUGUCGGUACGGUAUGAGCUUCAAGUCCCGAGUCUCUCAUUCUCCUUGAAUCUGGUGAGCCAACAAAUCUGAAUCUCCCAGAACUAGUAUUUCCUGGACUCCCAUGUCUACAGCUAACCUCAAACCCAAAAUGCAUGCUUCGUACUCAACCAUGUUGUUGGUGCAAUAAAAUUGAAGCUGGGUUGUCAUAGGGUAGUGUUGCCCUGUUUCAGAAAUGAGUACUGCCCCUAUUCCGACACCUUUCAUGUUAGCAGCUCCAUCAAAGAAGAGCUUCCAACCUGGCUUUUCAUCAUGGUCAACCUCAUCAACAUGCAUUAUUUCUUCAUCAGGAAAAUAAGUUCUUAAUGUAUCAUAUUCUUCAUCUACUGGAUUCUCGGCCAAAUGGUCGGCCAAGGCUUGAGCAUUCAUCGCAGUCCGAGUCAGAUAGAUGAUGUCAAACUCUGUGAGUAAUAUUGGCCACUUUGCAAGUCUUUCUUUGGGCAUAGGCUUCUGAAAGAUAUACUUUAGAGGAUCCAUAUGAGAAAUGAGGUAAGUAGUGUAGGACAAAAGAUAAUGCUUCAAUGUUUGUGCCACCCAAGUCAGGGCGCAACAUGUCCUCUCAAGCAGAGUGUACUUAACCUCAUAGGGAGUGAAAUUUUUACUGAGAUGAUAGAUUGCUUGCUCCUUCUUUCCCAUGAUGUCAUGUUAACCCAAUACACAACCAAAAGAAUUAUCCAAGACUGUCAAGUAGAGAAUUAAAGGUAUCCCAGGCUCUGGUGGGACUAGCACAUGUGGGUUUGAUAGGUACCUCUUAAUCUUAUCAAAUGCUUCUUGACGCUCGUCAGUCCACUUGACUGCAACAUUCUUCUUCAGUAGCUUAAAGAUGGGCUCACAGGUUGUCGUGAGCUGAGCAAUAAACCUGCUGAUGUAAUUUAACCUUCCAAGCAAACUCAUCACUUCAAUUUUGUUCUUUGUCAGCGGUAACUCUUGGAUGGCUUUGAUCUUUGACGUAUCCAACUCAAUAUCGCGUCUACUAACCAUGAAUCCUAGCAGUUUCCCAGAGGGGACACCAAAUGCACAUUUCGUUGGAUUGAGCUUGAGGUUGUAUCUGCGGAGCCUUUGGAAAAACUUCCUCAAGUCCUUGACAUGGUCAUACUGCUUAUUUGACUUUAUGAUCACAUCAUCUACAUAAACCUCAAUCUUCUUAUGUAUCAUAUCAUGAAAUAUGGUAGUCAUCGUCCUCAUGUAAGUUGCCCCAGCAUUCUUCAAACCAAAUGGCAUUACCCGGUAGCAAUAGGUUCUCAUGGCGUGAUGAACGAUGUCUUUUCUGCAUCUUCCUCAUCCAUCAAGAUCUGGUGAUAUCCCGCGUAGCAAUCCACAAAAGACCCAAUUUCAUGCUUGGCACAAUUAUCGAUCAGAAUGUGAAUGUUCGGCAAUGGAAAAUCAUCCUUUGGGCUCGCUUUGUUAAGAUCACGGUAAUCGACACAUACCCUGGUUUUAUCAUCCUUCUUUGAUACUGGCACUACAUUAGCUAACCUAAUGGGAUAUCGAGUGACCCGAAUAACCUUUGCAUCAAGCUGUUUUGUGAUUUCUUCUUUGAUCUUCACACUCAUGUCAGUCUUGAACUUUCUUAACUUUUGUUGACAGGAGGGAAUGCUGGAUCAGUUGGCAAUUUAUGAACUACCAAAUCAGUGCUCAAGCCUGGAAUAUCAUCAUACGACCAUGCAAAGACAUCUUUGUACUCAAACAAUGCUUUGAUUAUUUCUUCCUUAACUUGUGGUUCCAGAUGGACACUUAUCUUGGUUUCCCUAACAUUAUCAUUGUCUCCUAAAUUGAUUGCUUCAGUUUCAUUCAAAUUAGGCUUUGUUUUUUUUAAUUGUUUUAACUCUUUACUGAUUUCCUCAAAUGCUGCUUCUUCAUCAUAUUCUGUUUUAUCAUCAUACUCUACUUCUUGGAUUAUUAUCUCAGAAUUGGAUUGGCUUUUAAGACUUGGCUGAAAAUUUCUCAUGCAUGUCAUGUCAUUAGAACCAGCAUAAAAAGAACUGUACAAAACAAAAUGAAACCCUAUUAGUAAUAACAGAGCCCAGAAAGUUGUUUUUUAUUGAAAAUAAAAGGAUAGAAGGGUUUGAACAUCAAAACAAGUGAAAAAUAAAAAUUUGGAUUACAACUCUGGAAUAACCCAAAUAAUAUAAAGGAAAACAAAGCAAACUACCAAAACUCCUCCCGGGUGGGGAGAAGAGUAGCUUCCCAAUUGCUAAGCUUCACAUUUGGCCCAAUGAGCUGCACAUCUGCAUUACUAGAACUUUCCUCAAUUUCUACCAUAUUAACCUCAUCGAACAGACUCUGGAACCUCUUGAUCAUCUCUUCAUCAACAUCGACUAUAGGUUUCAAAAUUAAUGAUAUUGGACGUUUUGCGGCUCCUGGCUUGACAAAAGACUUGGAGAUGUAUGGAAUAGGUUUGGGUAGCGACCAUACCUUCUGUUUCUGUUUUUUAGCCAUUUUCACGUCCCUCUCCUUAGGCGUGAAUCCCAAACCAAAUGUGCCAAAAUUUUCACGUGGGCACACUGGAUGCACAAUACCCUAUAGAGAUGAACCCAAACCUUUACCCAGCAUAAAACCAUUCUUCAACAUUUCAUUUGCAACCAUGACGGAUGCUGAGGAUAGCCCCAAACCUGGAAUGCAUUAACCUUGAGAAAUCUUCUCAACAGACAUUGUUUCGAAUGUUUGGUAGGCCCAAGGUCCUUUAUCAUCUUCAGCUUCAAUAAAGGGAAUAGACGGGUCAUUAUAAGAAGAUAUGUCCUCAUCACCAUACAUUAUUAGUUCUUGUCCGUCUUAUUCGAACUUUACCAUUUGAUGCAGAGAAGACGGGACUGCCUUAGCCAUGUGUAUCCAAGGUCUGCCCAACAACGAAUUGUAGGAGACAACCACAUUUAACACUUGAAACUCUAUAGUGAACUUGACUGGCCCUAUUGACAAUUCGAUCAUUAUAUCACCGACAGAAUCUUUUCCUCCCCCAUCAAAGCCUCGAACACAUACAUUGUUCAUGUGGAUUCUUUCAGUACCGAUUUUUAACUUUUGUAAAGUAGACAAAGGACAAAUAUUUGCACUAGAACUAUUAUCAACCAGUACCCUCAAGCCAACUAACUCCUCGCACUUCACCGUGAGAUAAAGAGCUCGGUUAUGUUUUGUACCCUCCACAAGAAGUUCAUCAUAUGAGAAGGAGAUCCUAUUUGCUUCGAAGAUCUUGUUAUCAAUCUUUUCCGAGUGAUUCACUGUGAUCUUAUCAUGAACAUGUGCCUCAUUCAAAAUCUUCAUUAGGGCUUUGAAGUGGUCAUCUAAAUGUAUCAGUAAAGACAAAAGAGAUAUCUGAGCUGGUUUUUUCCUUAAUUGCUCCACAAUGGAAUAGUCUUGCACUUUCAUCUUUUUCAGGAACUCUUCAACCUCUUCUUCGAUGAUCGGUUUCUUUACUGGCAUUUGACUAUCCUUGAACGGCUUGACCUUCCUUAAUUCUUCCAUGGUAAAACACCUCCCAGAACGAGUCAGUCCUUUAGUUUCAUUGACUUCUUCACCUACUUCUUCCCCUUUAUAUGUUACUAUCACCCACUUGUAAUUCCAUGGGAGAACCUUUGUAUCAACCAUUGGCAACUAGGUCACUAGUUUAAUAACAACAGGGGUAAUACGGUCCCCUUCCACGACUAUGAUAGGCUUUUUUGGAUCCUUGGCAUGACCACCAUUGGCUUUUCUUGACUUGCUCCUAUAUCAUUCGAAAGCCCUUUCACUACCAACACAUGUGGCUUCACGUUGAGCAUGCUUAACUUCUCCGUCACCCCUUCAACUGUUGAGGGAGUCACUUUUGUAGAAUCUAGAGCCUUAACUGGAUUACUUUUACUAGCAUGAAUCAUCAUGAUGAACUUAGAAGAAAUCUUGGGUUCUCCAUCUUUACGCACUAUUUCGAUCAUAUGUGUCUCUGCAUGGGCUAGUAAAGGACUUUGGCUGAUAUUUGGCACUUCCGAGCUCUAGACUACAAUUUGAUUUAUAUCAAUAAGCUCUUGGAUUGCUCUCUUUAAAUGCCAACACUUCUCUAUGUCGUGCCCUGGGGCAUCAAAACAGUAUGCGCAUCUGAGUGAAUAAUCAAGGUUCUUUGGAGGGGGAUUUGGUAUCUUUGACUCAAUCGACCUCAAGACGUCUAACUGCCUCAACCUUUGAAACAAACUGGUAUAGGACUCUCCAAGCAGCGUGAAAGUUUGUUUCUAUUGCUGCGUUUCUCUUCUAUAAUCUGGCCUUGACCGAAAGCUUGGACCAGUAGGGUUUCGAUAUGGUUGUGAGGGUGGAUAAGGGUUUUAUGGAGUUGGAGCAUGCCAUUGCGGAUAAAGAGGGGGUUGAGCAUAUGACUAAGCAUGGUGGACAUGAUAUUGGUGUGGUCUGACUGAGUAUUGAGGUUCUUGUGGUGGGAAAUAAUGUUGGGGUGGAUUAUAUGGAGCUUAAGUAUAGGCUCAAGGUUGGGAUCGAGGCUGAGUGUACUGGUGAGGUGAAACCCUUGGUCCAUGCCAUGGUUUAAAUUCAACCAUAGAGACAUCAUCCUUUUGCUUCUUCCCCGACAAACUUCCUGUGCCAUUCUGGAUUGCCUGCGUAGUUGCUUUUAUGGCAGAACAGCUUAUGAUCUUACUUGACUUUAGUCCUUCUUCCACCAUCUCUCCCAUCUUUACCAUAUCAUUAAAAGGUUUUCCUAUGGCUAAUAUCAAGUGGACAAAGUAAAUAGGCUCUUGUGCCUGAAGAAAGUACUUGACCAUUUCGUCUUCUUCCAUCUGAUGAUUGACCCGGGUGGCUUGUUCCCUCCAUCUGAGUCCGUAUUCCCUAAAGCUUUCAUUAGACUUCUUUUCUAUCUUGGUUAAUGAUAGGCAAUCCGGGACAAUAUCGAUAUUAUACUAAAAAUGUCGAGCAAAGUCUUGAGCCAUAUCGUCCCAUGUAUACCACCUGCUAGCAUCUUGAUGUGUAUACCAAUCGAGGGCUGCCCCAUUCAAACUCUGACUAAAAUAGGCCAUUAAAAGCUCAUCCUUCCUACCAGCACCUCUCAUCUUACUGCAAUAACUUCUCAAAUAGGCCACGGGAUCUCCAUGUCCAUCAUACAAAUCAAAUUUUGGCAUCUUGAACCCAGCGGGCAGUUGGACAUCAAGGAACAAGCACAAGUCCUUGUAAGGCACACUUACUUGGUUUCCUAUCCCUUGCAUGUUCCUUAAAGACUGCUCUAAAGUCUUCACCUUCCUGAAUAUGUCAUCUUUCUCCACAUUCUUAGUGGGCUUCUCAAUUUCAACAGGAGGCUUAAAGUGAUGGGUAUAGCUAUAAGGAUCCGAGACCUUGAAAUUGGUUCAGAAGCAUAGGAUUGGGGAUCAGGGAUUUUGAAUGUGGGUUCACUAGAAGAUCGAUGGAUAGCAGCUUGUGGAGGGGCUACAAGAACAUGAGUGGAUUUUGGAGUGGGAUAUGAGGUUGUUUUGGCUGGUGGAGCAGGGAAAGGUUGGGAAGAGGUGCUAGUGUAGUUAUGAUAAGGGGUAAAGCCUGGAGCAUAUUGUGGGGAAAAAUCAAUAGUGGUGGGAUUCUGGCCUUGUGAUAGUGGUGGGAUGGUAAUAGGGUUUUCAGUGUAGUUAGUGGGAAAUGAGGGUAGAGGAUGUCCACUGAUCCAAGCUUGAUACAUAUCUGACAUCUGCUGUUUCAACCUUUGAACCUCUUUAUUCAACUCAGAUUCUAAUUCUAUAAUCUCUCUUGAUGGAUCAACAACACCUGUAUCCAAUUCUUUGCUAGUCAUGAUUGUCUUGCUCUUUGACCUAGUGUUGUAUGGAUGACUUGCCAGAGUGCCAACAAACUAACCACCUUCCUGAAGUUGAUAGUGAAACAAAGCCAAAAGGAGCAAAACAAAGCCAACAUGUUAGUGUUAGGGCAUUUAUUAGAUAAUAAUAUCACAUUAUGUGCAAUGCACCUAGCAACAAUUAACGGUUCUAAAAUGGCUUUGAGGGUCAUAAGGUCAUAUGGCAUCAUCCCAAUUUGCUCAUUUCAAUUUUCUCCACCCUUUUCUUUUGCUUAAUCACUCUUUCCCCGCACCCCACAAAUCCGUCUCUUUUUCUUUAACUUCAAAAAUGAUUCGAUCGAACCUGAUAUAGGUUGCAUAUGUAUUCAUGUUCCACAUGAAUCAGACCAAGCGUAGUUCCAGAAAAUUGGUGAAAAGUUAAACUAAAUAAAAAUCUUUUUGGAAUUUUCAUUUAAUUUUUUUUCGGUUUUCAAAAUACAAAAUGGGAAGUACGAUAAUAUAAGACUAUCAGACUCGACUACACUACGACAGACUUUGACACUAUCUACAGGACUCAGUACUACAAGACUAGAAGAUAACGACAACAUAAACAAACUGAAAACAUAUAAAAAGAAUCCUCAAGUAGCUCCUGGAUAUGAUGCCCCCCGCUUGGGAUGAUCCUGGGUUGUCCAUCAUGCUCAAACUUUGCAACAUGCCUUGUAAAGAUACACCGAUGCUAGGAAUAAAGACCCUAGGGUGUGCCCCCGCCUCCUGAAGGCUGACCCUAAACAAAUACUAGCUAUGCUGCUCCACGUUUGCUGCCAAUCCCGCUAAUUGAGACCUUAUCAACUCAAGCUUACCCCAAGGAUCCUGAUCCGAAGUCUCCUCAAAAUCAUCUGUCUGAACUGCCCAAUCCCUAACUUGUGCCGGCAAUGGGGUGCUGACCCCUGGUGGGAUGGACUGCAACCAAAUCAAAUACUUAUGAGUAUACUCAGACCGGCCAAUGUCUUCUACUAAUGUAUUUUUCUUCAUCCUCUUUGCAUUGUUCUAGUAUUGCACGUACUUGAUUUCGUCAAGCGCAUUUCUGCUAAAAUUCAUGAUGUGCCUCUGAAGAUUCAGAGUUGGCUGCUCCUCUUGUAUCCUACCCAACUGUCGCAUCACCCUAAUGGAAGUGUACAACCUGGCACACUUAAGUCCUAUCAACACCAAGAAAGGCUGAAUGCGACAUCCUACCAAAAUCUCAUCUAAAGGUAGCCAAAGGUAAGCCCACAAAACAUUCCCAUUUGUCCUCAAACCAAGGAACUCAAUCAAAGCUAUGAUGCCUACUGGGUAUGUAAACUUAGGAGAUUUCAUCCUACGCUCAAUGCAUUCCACUCGAUUCCUCAAGGCACGGUCGAUGGGACAAAAUAAGGAAGCGGUGUGUAAAUGCUCCAUCAUCUACAAUUGCAGCAAAAGGUUACUUCCCUCAAAAUACCUGACACCUCCCCUAACCUCACUCAGGGCUUGAUACAACUCUGCUAAGAUCAUUGGCACAACGGUAAUGGUUCUGUGUUGCUUCUCAUGAAAUAGUGCCAUCACCACUGAUUGUAGACGGGUGCUAAUAUGCCUCUCAUCUAAAGGAAACACCAAUAAUCCCAACAAAGCAAGGCCGAAAGCUUUGAGUCGGCGUCUUUUCCACUUUGCCUUGGUUAUGCAAAACUCAUCCCAAAAGACGUCAAAACCAUCAUGUGGUCCAAAUCUAGCAAACAAAUAAUACAAGGAUAUCCAGGACUGCUCGAGGCAUCCUAAAUGCUUAUUGUCUUUCAAGCCCAAGUCGCUGAGAAAUCUCGUCCUAGAGUGAUCUUGAGGAAGUAUCAUGUCUUUACCUAUGUAGCUUAGGCGAGUGAGACCAGACAUUUCUGUCAAGGUAGGAGUCAUCUCACACUCCCCAAAUCUGAAAACCAUGUUUUGUGGGUCCCAAUAGGUCAAUAUCGCCUUCACUAAAUCCGGGCGAGGUGUGAUAUCAAGAAGCGAAAUGAGGGUGCCCAACUUAUUCAUUAGCUCGUGUUGUUCUAACAAUAAAAUAUUUUCCACCACCUGACCAACUUCCUCAGAAUUUUCACUGCCAUCAACACUUUGGAUUGAAUUAGUGGGUUCAUACCUAAAUGAAGAAAACACAGUUAGUGACUCAAGACACUAUGUGAUGUCACAACACUUCCUAGUGGACAAAUGCAAGACACGAUUGGACUAAUUUUUACAAAAUGUCCUAAGUAGCCGAGGGUGGCUAUUAAUGCAAACUCGACAAAGUGGACCCCCUAAUGCCUGAAAAAUACCCCAUUUACAGCUUACACAGCUUCAAAAUCCCAACAAUCAUGGCCUUAAAAAUUACUUUGCAGAAAUGACCUAUUUUGCAAAAGCGACCGAUAUGGCCAAAUGUGGCUAGGGACGCAAACACGACAAGAACGAGCCUUAAAGGAAUGGGACACUUAGUUGUAUACUAAAAUUCUAAGACAUGGAUCACUGAACCACUUUCGCGAAAAUGAUCCCAUUUUGCAAGAAUGGCCGAUGUGGUCAAAGUGGCUAGACAUGCAAGAUUUGGCUACGACUCCUGAAGCCAAGAAUCUAAGCCUCACUAGGAAGACCCAACCCUAUGUGAGUUUACUAGGUAUCGCGCCCCGAAAGACGAGAAUCAGGUAUGCGUAGUUCGGGAAGAUGGGACAUGGGAGAAAGCUUUUAAAAAAAUGUAACUAAUUUGGAAAAACUAUAUUUUUGUCUUUUUGAAAAAAUGAUGAAAUGUGAAAUCUUUUUGGAUUUUUUUUCCUUUUUUGAUUUUUGGAAAAUGAUGGGAAAGUGCAAAGUCUUUUUGGAUUUUUCAUUUUUCGUAUUUUUGGCUUUUUUUCUUGAAAAAGUUGUAUAAGAAGAAAAAUAAUUGUGUCCUACUUGCUUCAUUUUAUACCUCGCCCUCUUUCCCAAAUAUCAGUCCUCCAAAUGACCUUUCUGCUCUCAAAGAUGCAACAUGUAUCACAUAGGGAUGAUUGAAUGUCCUUUUGGGCCAUGGGCCAGUUUUGACAUAAUUUGGAUAGGCCUCCUAUAAAGGAACACGGUGCCUAGGACCAGCCCUGCUAGGUAAAAGACAUAAUGCGAAUAAGCAUGAUCUAAAGGCUGACCUACGUUUGGGAUUCACUAACAAGGCAAUUCAGAGGAGCGUAUGGUCGAUGGUGGCUGCUCAAGCUUUCCACCCACUCCAUACAUCUGACGCCCCCUCCUAAAAUAAGGGUGACUCAACAAAGAGUUCGUGUACGCGACGCAUACUCCGAUACUUGUUGCAGAAAGAAUUAACUCGAGGUUAUGUAAACGAUGACAAUUAUAAAGUAGUAACACAUAAAGAAAAAAAACUGUAAACACACAAACAACUAGUAAAUAAUAAAACAACACAAAAAUAAAAAUCAAUUACUAAAAAAAUAAAUAAAAACCUCAACCAAAUAUUCUAAAAAGCCAAGAAGAUCACAAUAUCAGCUCGAACCUGCAAAGUUCCCUAGCAGAGUCGCCAGAGAUGUCACACCCCUUUUUUUAAACUACUCACUAACCCUUCUUAAAAUUAUAAAAAAAAGGAUUUAGUAAAGCUCAAAAGGGUUUUCAAUUAAAAAGUGACAAAAUUGUGUUCAAAAGGAAAUAACUCAGAGUCGCCACCUGACAUUGGUUUCGGUGUGCCAGGUCACGAUUUUUAAAAAUGAUUUUCCUUUUAAAAUACUUUGGACUCCAAAUUAAGUCAGAGCCAGAGAUUCGGGUAUGGGGGUUCAUUUGACUCGGGGAGAAGGUGUAAGGCACUCCAUAAGUCCUGUAACUAGUACGGUUGUAUACUUGAUCUAGUCGGCUUUUGAAAUAUUCAAGUUGAGGUAAAAUCACAGGAAAAAAAAUAAACACAAAAGAGGCUAAAGAUCGUCCCCACCUAAAUGAACGAAAAUUAAAAGAAGGAAAAUUAAAGUUCCAAAUUACAGAAUACUGCAGGGCAUUCCCCGGAAUAAAAUAUGUACAAAUCUUUUGGGGCAUUCCCCGGAUAAAUUUAACAAAAAGGGGCGACCUCUCACCUCAAAAUAAAUUAGAACACGAACGUCCUAAAAGUUGCCUAACCAAAUGUGGUCGGCCUAAGCAUGCUCCUAGCGAACAAUGUGACAAAAUAAAGUGAAUAAAAGGAAACUAAAUAAAAGAAAAAUUCAUCACCUACUCACUUUCUUUUGAUUCAUUCACAUAACCUAACCUAACUCCUAUAACAUUUGAACAUGAUCUAAUUUUUAAGGACUGGUUGUACCCGUUUCCCACGACCCAUUUCAAGCAACUGAUCCAAACAAAAUAAAGACGAUAACACAUCCAACAGAUAACUAUCCAAAGGCACCUGAUGUCAAUAAACUCGUAAACAAACAUAACAAAAUGAAUAAAAGAAAGCAAAAAUAGGAAAGAUAUGGGCUAACAUUACGAUAAAACCAUGACGUCACCUGUACCCCCUCCCCCCAUUUUCUAUCUGCUGCAAAGUUCUAGCAUUUAUAAAUGAGAAUCUAGUAAUGCAAACUAGGUUGAGCAAUAUUAGAACACACAUCCAAAAUAUUUGAUUCAUUAAAUUAUGGAAGAAAACAAUAACGCAUAUAUCUCAAAGUGAACAAGUGAUUUCUCUUGAUUAACAAUCUAAGUGACUAAAGAAAACUCCCUUGAAAUUCAUCACAUAUUUGAGCCAAGUGAAAAGAAAGAAUAAGCCAACAAAUACAAAUCGAUUUCGGAUAAAAUUUCCAACAUGCUAGUAUACUACUCUUAACAGAUAUAAUAUGGAACCAGUGAGGAAUUUGAAGGCUAAAGAUAUUUUAGUUAAACAAUAGGCAGAUAAACUUUUAGAGAAAAAAGGAAACUACAAUACAAGUAUUGACUUAAACAAAAGCAAACCUACUGUAUAUAAACUUCAUACUUCAAUUAUUGAGUCAUCCACUACCAUAUUCCUCUUAACAUUAAAUUUACUAAGCUUCAUAGAAAAUUUUAACAAUUUAAUCAUAGGUGAAAGCAAUGACCAUUCGACUCCAAAUUGAACACACGUUGUUACAUUACUUCAAACUAGAAACUUUUAUGGAAAGGCUCUACAGGUUCUUGUUCAAAAAUGCUAAAGGAAAAAGGCACAUGAACAAUCACAAAGGCAAAGGUGCAAAUACCUUAAACUAAACUAUAACGGGAGUGUUGCUAGGAGAUAUGACUUAAACAAACACACUCAACAUAACAUAAACCAAGUCAAGAAGAAAUUAAACAAAGUCUCAGAAAUCACUAAUGACUUAGUCCAGACAACAAUUAAUUUGUUCCACACCUGUUCAAACAAAGGAAAAAAAAUUAAAAUGAACCUGUUGGCCGAAAUUCUUUUUAAUGACAGUAGAGGAAUCAGCAGAUACAGUGUUUUACUCCAAAAUUCAAACCGAGAACAGCAACACAAUCGAGCAGAAACCGCGAGCCAAACCACGAACCUCGAAUGAAAACUCGAAUCGGCACCGGAAUUUCGAAUCCAAACUCGAACUUCAAUCAAAUUCUAUCUUUGAAAGCGAAAAUUGAAAUUGGAAAGAAGAAGAAACAUAUUUUUUUUUUGUAUUUUUCUGAGAUUUAAAUUAAACUAAAAAUCUGAAAAAAAUGAAAUCCGAAGAUGAAAAGGGCUAAACUGAAAUUUGUUUCGUUUGUAUUUUUCCGAUUGUUCCAAGAAGACAAAAAUCAGAGAAGAAGAUUGAUGACUUCUCAAACCCUCCUUUUUUUCUUCUCUAUCUUUCUCUGUGACCUCUCUUUAUUGUGCCCCAAAUAAUGCUUAACUUUUCUAUUGUCUUCCACUCACUCUCUCUUUUUUCCAAAAAUCCUCCCUUCCUCUCAAAGUCUUAUCCCUAUUAUCUAUUCUUCUUGCUUGGAGGAAGUUACAAGAAAUUCAAAAAGAUGUGUGGUCCCCCCUAAUGUGCAUUGAAUUCAAAACUGAAGAAGC